AGCAUAGACACUAAUGGAUUAAUAAAAAGGAAGGAGCUCUGAGAAGCUUCACGUGGUUUUACCAGGAUGGAAGCAGCCUUCCGGCCGCUAUUUGAAUCCAGCAUUGGGGAGAUAUAUUACAGCAGUAGUCCCUAGCAUGGAGGCGCAGCUACAAACAUCACACAAGGUAGCAGGGCGAGCCCCCACCUCCCCGACUCUCUCCCUGAUACUGCGGCUGGGAAUAGGAAACAGGAAGUCAAGUUUACAAGAAAAUGACCCCCAGCAGUUCAGCUUUUUCUUUUACAGUUCGAGUUGCAGCUCGGUGCCAGAUUCUGUUCACGAGCUCUAAUGAGCAGGACAGAGUGGAGCCUGUCAGUGCUGACAGAGGAGGUUUCUUCUGCCUCCUCCUCCCCCCUUGUUUUUCUGCUUUUACUUCGGCCUGGCAAAUGUCCUCUUGGAGAAUCAUUCAUUAAUUUCCAUUGUUCCCUGCUAGACUCUCCACCCCUCAGUCCCCCUUUCUGUUUUACUGCCAAAUUCCCCUUGGUGCCCUUUCUGCUUUCACUAUGUAACAGUCCAGUUUCACACAGAGAAAUGUAUCCAAAUCAGCAUUUCCUCUGUAUUAAUUGCUCACGUUCCGCCACCAAGACUCCCCCAAUCCAAAACAAGCCCCCAAAGGCGCCAGCAGGUAAUGAUGUCCCACCGGUGAGAAAGCGGCUGCUCGAAAAAAUCUAAAUGUGUAUGUGCGACCGAUGCAGAUCCAAAUUCCAGAGGUAGUAGGGAGAAGAAGUGCUUACAGUGACGGGGCAGCAGGCAGACGGCAUGAGAGCAAACCACAGCUUCGUGUAGAUCAUCUCAGACCGAUCUCAUCCCGAAAGUGGGCGUGACACAUUUUAUUGACCUGUGUUGAGUGAAAGGUGGCAUAAUGACAAAAGAAUUGAUGUGACUGGAUAAUUCCAGACCCAAAGACGGUGACUGGGGUUGUAUUCAAUCAAUACCAUAAUCUAAUUCUACAAAAUAUAACAUUUUAGCUCUGCAUUGAUUGAUUUAGCAGAAGCUUUGUCUCAUGAGGCCUACAAGUGAGGCAGAUAGCACUUUACAAGUACGCAGCUGCCAAGGAGCCAAACAGGUGUGAGUGCAGCUAGGCUGAGCUUCAAGUGAGCAACCGGUAACGAGUGCAAGUUAGCAAUCUAUUAAGGGAGCUAUUCAAAUCAAAAGGCAAGUGCAAAAAUACGAGAGUAUCCCAGAAAGAGACCGGCCGAGGGAAAACUGUUGAAGACAGAGCAGGUGUUUGGUUGGAUGAGCUAAUUAAGGGUAAAUUGUAACUAAGUCUCAUAAAAUGAAAGCACCAUGCUGUGUUUACUAAAGUAUAAAGGGUGUUGUAUCUUGAUAAGAUGUAUAAUGACAAGAUUUUCUAGCUGGAUAUGACAUGAUCAGUUUAUUCAGUGAAGUGACAAUUUUCAUAUUAUUACCUGGAAAGCACCUAUACACAAUUACUGGGAAAUAAAAUUCUCAUCUGGUUCA